CACCAUUGGUGGUGGUCGGCGGCGGCUCUGCCACUAACUCCGGCGGCCCUUUCCGGCCACCUCCGGGGGUCAAAAAUAUGGUUUCUGUACAUUUUCAGAUUCUAUAUUUCAAUACGAUCAUUUUGAUAUAUUAUACGCAAUUUUUGGAUAUCGUAUGAUUAAGUUAUGAAUUUUUAAGUUUAGAUCGAUUUCGAUCGUUAGAUUUGUGAUCUGUGAAGUUAGGACCGUCAGAUGGACUUGUAGUUUUGAUAUGAUGAUCUUAUGACUGUCCCAGUGGCUUUGUGUGGUCAUGGGCGAAGAUCCGACCGUUGGAUCUUCGUAUAAAUGCAAAACAGUGAUUAGGGAGGCGAUUCGUGAGAAUCCGUCCGUCGGAUUUUCGUAUAAAUUUGUGAAGAUGUUAGUAAGGACGAUUCAGGAAGAUCUGACCGUUGGAUCUUCGUGAUGAUUUUUGGAGGGUGAUCCUAAAGGCGAUCCGUGAGGAUCCGACCGUUGGAUCAUCAUUUAAUUUCGAUCCGACCGUUGGAUUGUUGUUUGAGUAUGUUUUUGAGUUGUUGGCUAAGUUAAGGUCAUGUUUGACUAGGUGAUUGACGGUCUUCCUUGGGUGAGCGGUUUCGGUGUGUAUUGUGUUGAAUUGAAGACGCAGCGGGAAUAUCGAGCGGGUAAUCCUGCAGGUCAGGAGAAUCAGGGCGGUGAUCGAGCGGGUUAGAGUAUUUGUUAUAGUUUUACAGCAUUUGUAAUAGUGAGGUGAGUUAAGCUCAUUGAGCCUUACAAUUUGAUUUGGUGAGAGUGUGUUGUAAUAAUUAACUUGAGGAUUUGAUUUAUUGUAAUAUUGAGAGGUGUGAAGUGUGGUUGUUUGUGAGAAAAAAAUUCAGGACGUUUAUUCUA